rnacentral:rRNA from 1 species
CCAAUAGCGUAUAUUAAAGUUGUUGCAGUUAAAAAGCUCGUAGUUGAAUUUCGGGAUUGACGUGACGGUCAUGCCUUAAGGGGUAUGAACUGGUGUAGUCAAUUUCUCACCUUCUGGAGAACCGCGAUGUCCUUAAUUGGGUGCCGCGGGGAACCAGGACCUUUACUUUGAAAAAAUUAGAGUGUUUAAAGCAGGCAUUUUGCUUGAAUACAUUAGCAUGGAAUAAUAAAAUAGGACGGAUGAUUCUAUUUUGUUGGUUUCUAGGACCACCGUAAUGAUUAAUAGGGAUAGUUGGGGGCAUUAGUAUUCAAUUGUCAGAGGUGAAAUUCUUGGAUUUAUUGAAGACUAACUACUGCGAAAGCAUUUGCCAAGGAUGUUUUCAUUAAUCAAGAACGAAAGUUAGGGGAUCGAAGACGAUCAGAUACCGUCGUAGUCUUAACCAUAAACUAUGCCGACUAGGAAUCAGACGAUGUUAAUUUUUUAAUGACUCGUUUGGCACCUUACG